GAUGGCAGGGCAUUCUCAGAGGUGGGCUUUAAAAGCCGUGUACAACGUGCAAUGGGAAAAAGUCCUUCCGAAUUUCUUCGGAAAGUGCAGUGGUCCAUUUUAUACAUGAAAGCGGCCCUCAGGCCCUUCACUAGAGGCAGGACAGCGCCCAAACUGAUGGACAGGCAGGGUCGGGGCAGCUUGAUUCCUCCCCUUCUCCCGAGGUCCUUAGGGGAGGUGGGGGCUGCGGCAAAUAUCAGAAUCUCUUCAGCCUCCGUUUCCCACUCUGUAAAAGGAGGGGGUGCCCAGAACCAACACUCAGGAUGGAUCCAAAGACAGAAGAAACAGCCCUCGUUUGUAAAAGAAUGGCAGAAACAAGACAUGAACAUGGGGACCUCCUAGUCUACAGGCUCUCCCUUUUUUCCAGCCAGCAUCCAGGCCUACACAUGAAAACCAGUGCUGAGGAAGGGAACCUGGGAAAGCAAGGGUUCGCCUCAGCUCGCCAUCUGUUAUAGUGAGGUUUUGUAAUUAAGAUUAAACAGAAGGGAUCACUAACUAUA